CCUAUCCUACUACGGAGAAGUCUUGGUUGUUAAUAUUCAGAAGGAAGCGCUUUGGCAUUGGGUGAUUGCAAGAAACGUCAUGACGUUCCAAUUAAUAUACAUGAGGGAAGGCUUCUUCAUAGAAGCAACGUCAGCGCAAUGUAAUUAACGUUCAAUCACUCAGCUGAAACUUUAGGAAUAAUGAGCAGAGCAGUCAAAUUUCUUUAAAUCUGUGUACUAUAUAAGCUGCAUUGAAGGGCUCAAUUUACAAUGAGGUCCAAAAAUCUCUUCUAUUUUGCAUUUACAAAAUAAAUUACAUUAUCUAUGUUAUCCAGCAUGAGUUGAGUACUUCAACUGUACUUCAGCUGAAGCGAGUAUGGCCUUUUAUACAAAAGAGUUCACAAGCCAAAGUCACCAGAAGCACAGACUUCAUCAAGAACAGGAACUUUAGUCAAUUGCUUGUCUGGAAGAAGCUCUAUUGAAAGUGGAUUAGAGGUCCAGCUCAGUUCCAAAUCUUCAAGAAGCUGUCCCAUGAGCCAGUGCAAACACACAUGCCAUCUGGUGGUACUCCGGUGCAGCUCACCCUGUUGUCAUGGCCAGACAACACACCUACAGGAGAGAAAGGAAG